rnacentral:rRNA from 1 species
GUAGGGAAUAUUGGUGAAUGGGCGAAAGCCUGAACCAGCAACGCCGCGUGUGCGAAGAAGGCCUUCGGGUCGUAAAGCACUUUUUGCCGGGAAGAGGAAGGACGGUACCGGUAGAAUAAGCCUCGGCUAACUACGUGCCAGCAGCCGCGGUAAAACGUAGGAGGCGAGCGUUAUCCGGAUUUACUGGGUGUAAAGCGCGUGCAGGCGGACGGGUAAGUUGGGUGUGAAAGCUCCUGGCUAAACUGGGAGAGGUCGCUCAAGACUGCCGGUCUGGAGCAUGGUAGGGGAAGGCGGAAUUCCGGGUGUAGUGGUGAAAUGCGUAGAUAUCCGGAGGAACACCAGUGGCGAAAGCGGCCUUCUAGACCAUGACUGACGCUCAGACGCGAAAGCUAGGGUAGCAAACGGGAUUAGAAACCCCUGUAGUCC